AGUGCUCCGCUGGGGCUGCACACAUCUGCCAGCCAGACUACCUUCGUACACAAUUACUCAAUCCACCGUAAGGCUCUUUAAUAGGAAACAAGUGUGACAACGGCAAGCCUCUUUUUUUUUUUUUCCUCCUCCCUCUUAAACCACAGAGUCAAAUAGCUCUAAUAGAGAUGAAGCUUGAUAGAUCCGCCCAGGUGUAGGUGAAAUGGUAGAGCCUCAGGGGUAAUAGAUGCUGUGCUCUCAUGCUGAAGUUUAGCACUUUGUCCUGACCGGCUCUCUAGCAGCAGGGCGAUGGGCUGCUCCUUGUACAGUUAACAAAGUCAACACGCUUCUUGCCGUUCACAUUGAUGCCUAAUCUGGAGGGCAACCUGGAGCUAGGUAAGAACCGCAAAACAGCCCUCUGACUUCAACGUGUGGACAAAGGACAGCAAAUGCACAGGCAGAGAGGCAAGAGAACAGAGCUGAGCAGAAAGCCCGAUGCAGGGCUCAAUCCCAGGACUCUGAGACCAUGACCUGAGCUGAAGGCAGAGGCUUAACCCACUGAGCCACCCAGGUACCCCUUGACCUUGUUUUGGGCCAGAU
rnacentral:lncRNA from 1 species